UGUAAAGUUGAAUGAUUUAAAAUGUACUCGACAUUUGCACAAAUUGUCCAUAUCACCGCUAUUGUGUAUAUUGAAUUUCUUUGCCUAGGAUCAAGCAAGAGAGGACCAUGCGACGAAUAUGUCAUGGGAUGUUGUCCAAACACGCAUUGGAACUUAAAAAUGAAUAUAUGCAUUGAUUGCCCAAGUGGAUACUAUUGGAUAAAUUGCAGCAAACCCUGUCAAUAUCCUUACUAUGGAUUAAAGUGUGGUCAAACGUGUUCUUGUGAAAAAGACGAAUGUGAUUACAUCAGUGGAUGUAAACGUG